AUGGACGAAGCUGAUCAGCAUGCCGCGUGUGUGAAGAAGGCCUUCGGGUUGUAAAGCACUUUUGUCCGGAAAGAACAUCCCUGGUCCUAAUAUGGCCGGGGGAUGACGGUACCGGAAGAAUAAGCACCGGCUAACUACGUGCCAGCAGCCGCGGGAAUAAGUAAGGUGCAAGCGUUAAUCGGAAUUAAUGGGCGUAAAGCGUGCGCCAGCGUGUGCUGUAAGACCGAUUUGGAAUCCCCGGCGCUCGAGCUGUGAACUGCAUUGGUGACUGCAUCGCUUGAGUAUGGCAGAAGGGGGUAGAAUUCCACGUGUAGCAGUGAAAUGCGUAGAGAUGUGGAGGAAUACCGAUGGCGAAGGCAGACCCCUGGGUCAAUACUGACGCUCAUGCACGAAAGCGUGGGGAGCAAACAGGAUUAGAUACCCUGGUAGUCCACGCCCUAAACGAUGUCAAGUGGUUGUCGGGUCUUCAUUGACUUGGUAACGUAGCUAACGCGUGAUGUUGACCGCCUGGGGAGUACGAGUCGCAGAUUAAUACUCCAAAGAAUUGACGAGGAACCGCACAAACAGCGGAUGAUAUGGAUUAAAACGAUAGAACAGCGAAAAACCUU
rnacentral:rRNA from 1 species